GGGUGGUGUGUACCAUCCCUGAUGAGUCCAAAAGGACGAAAUGG
rnacentral:hammerhead_ribozyme from 14 species